rnacentral:rRNA from 1 species
UUGAACGCUGGCGGCAGGCCUAACACAUGCAAGUCGAACGGUAACAGGAAGCAGCUUGCUGCUUUGCUGACGAGUGGCGGACGGGUGAGUAAUGUCUGGGAAACUGCCCGAUGGAGGGGGAUAACUACUGGAAACGGUAGCUAAUACCGCAUAACGUCGCAAGACCAAAGAGGGGGACCUUAGGGCCUCUUGCCAUCGGAUGUGCCCAGAUGGGAUUAGCUAGUAGGUGGGGUAACGGCUCACCUAGGCGACGAUCCCUAGCUGGUCUGAGAGGAUGACCAGCCACACUGGAACUGAGACACGGUCCAGACUCCUACGGGAGGCAGCAGUGGGGAAUAUUGCACAAUGGGCGCAAGCCUGAUGCAGCCAUGCCGCGUGUAUGAAGAAGGCCUUCGGGUUGUAAAGUACUUUCAGCGGGGAGGAAGGGAGUAAAGUUAAUACCUUUGCUCAUUGACGUUACCCGCAGAAGAAGCACCGGCUAACUCCGU